GCUCCAAUGGGAAGAACAUUCUCAUCAAGAAAGAAAUGGGGGGAAUGAGGAAAGUGAAUCGAACCAACUUUCUCGCUCCUGAUCCCGAUGGCAAACAUCAGACCUGGGAUCAAUUGUUGAUAGAACGCAAAAUCCUCACCUGCCAUUAUCUUCGUCCCCAUCUUCACCUUAUCAGGACCAAGAAGUAGUUCACCAACUUUCUGUACAUGUUGAUGCAGGAUUUUAUCAUUCAUAACACCAGGAUAUGAUGGGUACCCGUCGAUUUUCAUGUUAAUGAA
rnacentral:misc_RNA from 1 species